rnacentral:rRNA from 1 species
CCUUUAUAUUGACUCUGCUGACUUUAGUAAUGUGAAUUAAAUAGAUUCAGCUAUCCUUAGAUAUAAGAUUCGAAAGUACCGGUCACUA